rnacentral:rRNA from 1 species
GAACGCUGGCGGCAUGCCUAACACAUGCAAGUCGAACGAGACCUUCGGGUCUAGUGGCGCACGGGUGCGUAACGCGUGGGAAUCUGCCCUUGGGUUCGGAAUAACAGUUAGAAAUGACUGCUAAUACCGGAUGAUGUCGUAAGACCAAAGAUUUAUCGCCCAAGGAUGAGCCCGCGUAGGAUUAGCUAGUUGGUGGGGUAAAGGCCCACCAAGGCGACGAUCCUUAGCUGGUCUGAGAGGAUGAUCAGCCACACUGGGACUGAGACACGGCCCAGACUCCUACGGGAGGCAGCAGUGGGGAAUAUUGGACAAUGGGCGAAAGCCUGAUCCAGCAAUGCCGCGUGAGCGAUGAAGGCCUUAGGGUUGUAAAGCUCUUUUACCCGGGAUGAUAAUGACAGUACCGGGAGAAUAAGCUCCGGCUAACUUCGUGCCAGCAGCCGCGGUAAU